CGCACAUUGCGCCCCUUGGUAUUCCGGGGGGCAUGCCUGUUCGAGCGUCAUUACACCACUCAAGCCUGGCUUGGUAUUGGGCGUCCGCGGCUCCCCGCGCGCCUGCAUGUCUCCGGCCGAGCCGUCCGUCUCCAAGCGUUGUGAUCUAAUCGAAUCGCUGCGGAGCGCGGAGGGCGUCGCGCCGUUAAACCUCUCCACAAGGUUGACCUCGGAUCAGGUAGGGAUACCCGCUGAACUUAA
rnacentral:misc_RNA from 1 species